CUUACGGCUGCCAGCGCUGCGUCCCUCCGCCCCUCCUGCUGGACUAUGUCUGCUCUCUCCAAAACACAACAAAAAUACGCCCAACUAGUCUGUCUGACGGCUGGUCAAGGAUGACGUUGUCAAGGUGCUGCUGUGGCGGCAAAUCAUGUCAGGUUGAGUGAAAAGUGCGCGUGCCAACCGCAGUUUGACAAGUUGACGACAGAAAUCUCCUCAGAGUUAACAGUCCAGGAGCUCAGAAACACAUAUAACUUAGUUAACUCAAGACGAACGGAAGGAGUAUACUGUACUGUACGCCGGAAUGGACACUGAUAACGCUGUAACCAUAGCAGCCCAGAAAGAGAAGUUCAAGUUUGCCCCUCCUGUAGCCAAGUCCGGGAAGAUGGGAGGAGAGGAGAGAAAGGGAGAGGGGGGUGGGAGGAAGACGGAAGCAGAGCCAGGAGAAGGAGAGAACCAGAAGAGGCGACCAUGUUCACUGAAGAAAGGAGAUAAGCCACAAGGGAAGAAGAGGGUGUCACUAAAAGAGAAGAGUUCAGGUGCUGGAGUGAGAGGUGGAAAGAGAGGAUGUGAGGGGAAGAAAGAGGAGACAGAGGGGCUGACAGUGAAGAAGUUAAAGAAGAAUGGAGAGAGAAAGAAGAGUAAAAGAGAAGGGAAAAA